UACGUAGGGUGCGAGCGUUGUCCGGAAUUAUUGGGCGUAAAGAGCUUGUAGGCGGUUUGUCGCGUCUGCUGUGAAAAUCCGGGGCUCAACCCCGGACUUGCAGUGGGUACGGGCAGGCUAGAGUGUGGUAGGGGAGACGUGGAAUUCCUGGUGUAGCGGUGAAAUGCGCAGAUAUCAGGAGGAACACCGAUGGCGAAGGCAGGUCUCUGGGCCACUACUGACGCUGAGAAGCGAAAGCAUGGGGAGCGAACAGG
rnacentral:rRNA from 1 species